rnacentral:tRNA from 2 species
GCCGAGGUGGCGGAACUGGCAGACGCGCUAGCUUGAGGGGCUAGUGGUCUAAUAGACCGUGCGGGUUCAAAUCCCGCCCUCGGCACCA